rnacentral:rRNA from 1 species
GAUGAACGCUGGCGGCGUGCUUAACACAUGCAAGUCGAACGAAGCACUUGAUUUGAUUUCUUCGGAAUGAAGAUUUUGUGACUGAGUGGCGGACGGGUGAGUAACGCGUGGGUAACCUGCCUCAUACAGGGGGAUAACAGUUGGAAACGACUGCUAAUACCGCAUAAGCGCACAGGAUUGCAUGAUCCAGUGUGAAAACUCCGGUGGUAUGAGAUGGACCCGCGUCUGAUUAGCUUGUUGGCGGGUAAUGGCCCACCAAGGCGACGAUCAGUAGCCGACCUGAGAGGGUGACCGGCCACAUUGGGACUGAGACACGGGUCCAAAACUCCUACGGGAGGCAGCAGUGAGGAAU